GUCUGCUACCCGGCGACCAGCACUGGCCUGGUGGGGAACAUGAGUCCAGGCGGGCUGGGGUUAGAGCGAAUCACCCCAGUAGUCCCAGGAAGUGGAAACAUUGUGGUCCACACCUUACAAAUGAGGAUACGUAGCUCAAAGAGGCAAGCGGACUCCUAAAUGGCGCUCUUGUCGGAGUGUUACCUGAAAAACUGGCUUUGCCUUUUGGUGGGUGUCAAGCCAGAAGACAAAGAGUGGGAGAAGGAAGGAUUUAUUACUUGCAACAAAUCAUUACUGAGACCUGUUGAAGGGCAAGCGUUGUGGCCAGGCUUAAAAUGACUUAGGCCAAAAAUGGCUUUUCUUAUGUCAAGAAAGCCAUGCCCAGGGGAUUCCCUGGUGGUGCAGUGGUUGAGAAUCUGCCUGCCAAUGCAGGGGACACGGGUUUGUGCCCUGGUCUGGGAAGAUCCCACAUGCCGCGGAGCAAAUGGGCCCGUGAGCCACAACUACUGAGCCUGCGUGUCUGGAGCCUGUGCUCCGCAACAAGAGAGGCCGCGAUAGUGAGAGGCCCACGCACCGCGAUGAGGGGUGGCCCCCGCUUGCCGCAACUAGAGCAAGCCCUCGCACAGAAACGAAGACCCAACACAGCCAAAAAUAAAUAAAUAAAAAAUUUUUUAAAAAUACGGGAGUCCAUGUAUUAAAAAGAAAGCCAUGCCUGGAUUUCUUUUUCCGGGGACCUCCCCUACCCUAUCUGCCUACAGGAGGAGUAGGUUUCGUUGAAUCUUGAGGGAUAUACCUUGAGCAGGAGGUCUGAAUUCUGCCCUUGCCACUUAAUGGCAGUGAAGCGAAGGGCAGAUCUCUUCCCUUCUCUGGGCCUCAAUUUAUUCACUGUUGACGUGGGACUAAUGAUACCACCUUAUAGAGCUGCUAUGAGGAUUAAAUUAGAUUAGCGAUUCUCAGACUCCUACUCUCAAAACCAUUUUAUACUUUUUAAAAAUGAUUGACGGGAGUUCCCUGGCAGUGCAGUGGUUAGGACUCCAUGCUCUUACUGCCAAGGGCCCAGGUUCAAUCCCUGGUCAGGUAACUAAAAUCCUUCAAGCUGUGUGGUGUGGCCAAGAAAAAAAAACAGAUUGAAGGCCUCAAAAAGUUUUUGCUAAUAUGGCUUAUAUCUUUCUAUGUUUACCAUAUUAUAAAUUAAAACAUUUUUUAAAAUUAUUUUCAUUUUAAAUAUUACCCUUUUUUAAAACGUAGCUAUAAUUCCCCCAAAUAUAGAGAAGAGUGGCAAAUGUUUCACAUUUUUGCAAAUCUCUUUAAAGUCUGGCUUCAUAGAAGAUAGCUGGAGUCUCACAUCUGCUUCUGCAUUGAAUCUGUUGCAAUAUAUUGCUAGGGUUGAAGUAUAUGAAGAAAACCCAGCCUCAGGUAUGUGGUUCAACAAGGAGAGACCUGCAGACCCUACUCUGAGAACAGCUUAGAGCACCUGGCAAGGCCUUGGGAAUAGUAGUGAAAUGAAGCUAGUGAGUCAGGAAAAUGAGCUGAUAGCUUUGAACAUCUCCCCCACCCUGGGCCCCAAAGGACUGGCGCAGGUAGGCUCAGGCCCCACUCCAGGGAUGGUCGAGAAAUGGGGGCAGAAACAGCCCACUCCUGGAGGAAACGAGAGAGAGAGGAAGGAAGGAAAGAGGAGAAGAGAAAAGGAAGAAAGGUGAGAUGGGAAACUCAUCUUCCAACCACAUUGAACAGCCAUCCAGAACCAAAGUGGCAAAACACUAGUGACUGGGAGCCCAGUGAUGAGUACUUACUCUAUUCUUCCUAUUUUUAUGUGUGUCUGGAAUUUUCCUUACUAAACAGUUCUUAUUUUUGAAGGAAGCAUGCGAUAUCAUGUAUCCCUUGAUAUGACAUGACAUGACAUGAUGAGAAAGGCACUUCACCUCUGUGGUAUUCCCCUCACCCCUAAAGCUAUAAUCCCUGUCUAAUCAUUAGAAAAACAUCAGACAGACCCAAAUUGAGAGACAUUUGGCAGAAUAACUGACCAAGAGUCUUUGUAACUGCCCAGGUCAUAGGAGACAUGGACAGACCAGAGGAACCUAAGGAGACAAGACACCUAAAUGCAAUGUGGGAUGCUGGAACAGAAAAGGACAUUGGUGGGAACACUGGUAAAAUCCAAAUAAAAUCUGGAGUUUAGUUAUUAGUAAUGGAUCACUGUUAAUUUCUUUGUUCUGGGAAAUGUACCAUAGUUAGGUAUGUUAACGUGGAGGGAAAUUGGGAUAGGGCAUUUGGGAACUUGGUACUAUCUUGCAACAUUUCUAUAAAUCUAAAAUCCAAAAUUAAAAGUUCACAAAAAGGAAGGCAUUCAUUGUUCAGCUUCUUUCAUAAUUAAAUAAUUAAAAUAAGUAUAUAUCUUAAAAUAUAUAUCAAACUGGCAAAAUAAAAGCAAUUUUGCACAGUGUUUGAUAUGGGUGGUAUACACAGGCAGGAUGUGUGCACUGUGGAGGAGAGGGUCUGCAUUGUUGGAGCCCAGUUUGGCCAUGUCAUUAAAAGUAUUGUAGCUAUAGCUAAUCCCGUUUGAUCCAUUUCCAUGCCUACAAAUUACCCUACAAAACCCUCCCUUCAGUGCUCAGAGACAUGUACAGGAUGUUUGUACAAACACAAGAGUGAUGGACAGGACUUGGUUCCCAAUGUGGGCACCUCAGGACAGCCUCAGGCUGCACCAGCCCACCCCAGCA